CCUACGGGCGGCAGCAGUGGGGAAUAUUGGACAAUGGGCGAAAGCCUGAUCCAGCCAUGCCGCGUGUGUGAAGAAGGCCUUCGGGUUGUAAAGCACUUUCAGUGGGGAAGAAAGCCUUGGGGCUAAUACCCUCGAGGAAGGACAUCACCCACAGAAGAAGCACCGGCUAACUCCGUGCCAGCAGCCGCGGUAAUACGGAGGGUGCGAGCGUUAAUCGGAAUUACUGGGCGUAAAGCGCGCGUAGGCGGUCUGAUAAGCCGGUUGUGAAAGCCCCGGGCUCAACCUGGGAACGGCAUCCGGAACUGUCAGGCUAGAGUGCAGGAGAGGAAGGUAGACUUCCCGGUGUAGCGGUGAAAUGCGUAGAGAUCGGGAGGAAUACCAGUGGCGAAGGCGGCCUUCUGGACUGACACUGACGCUGAGGUGCGAAAGCGUGGGUAACAAACAGGAUUAGAUACCCGUGUAGUC
rnacentral:rRNA from 1 species